GGUCCAGCUGCAGGCUUGGGCGUUCCCGUCAUGACACAAAAACGCCCAUCGGGCGUUCCCGUCAUGACACAAAAACGCCCAUCAGGCGUUCCUGUAGCGUUUCAUCGAUCACUCAAGAAGAGUACCCUGGCACAUGCUUUGUCCAAUGGACCAUGGAAGGGACUUUACUUGGCUGACGAGGACGCACCUCACCAGUAUCAGAGCAACAGCUGUGGGGUGUUUAUGCUGAUGUACGCAAUGUAUUCUACCCUCAAAAGCAAUAUGAUUUCAGUGAGGUGAGUUCUUUCUAAUCUCAAUCAGAUGUGUAGCAUGAAAUAUAAGGCUUUUAAUAAUUUAGUCAUCCUUACUGGAGGCUACAAUUAACAUGCAUCAUAGGUCAUACACAUUACUUUGUCUUCAGGUACUGCACUUACGGGAGGAGAUGGCUACAUCUUCACAAUAAUUUACACUGCCAUAGUACACUGCUAAACAGUACUGUAACAUGGAUUUGUAUUGGGCUAUGAAGUCAUUUAAAGCAUAAUUUUACUUUUCAGGGGGACAUGCUCUCUAUCAGGAGGUGGUGGUUUGACAGCUGUUGGAGACCUUUAUGCUUGAAAGGCUAGCCCUGCAGAACUAGCUGGCUCCUUCUCACCCUCUCCAUCUCCCCAUCUCAGUCACACCUUCCAAUCACUAAGCAGUGAAAGCCCUGCAGGACUAGCUGGCACACCAAGCUCACCCUCUCCAUCUCCCCAUCUCAGCUACACGCUCCAAUCUGGCACAACAGAGGACAGGCCAUUCUUACCACCCGAAGUCCUUCAGCAAAUUGUACAAGAGACGCUGAGACUGGACAUGGCGAUGCUUGGCGUGUUCAACAGGGUUUCAAACACAUUCCGAGAACUUAUCAAGCCUCUCCAUCAUUCCAUAUAUAUAAAUGACAGUUUGGCAGGGGACAUUAAGCUUAAUAAAGACAAUCUCAUAUACAUAACGGUUAGAAAGAUGUACAACAAUGCAGGCUGUGUCAGUGGCCUUGCGCUACGCCUCAAAGGCUUCUCAAAAAAGAAGAAUUGGCCUAGCGCACCCCUGGUACUGAGGCACGUUGUAUAUGCCAGGUUUGUCAUAAAAGAUGUCUGCCUAGCAUGUUCUUUUAUUACUCCUUUUUCGUUUUAUUUGGGACGUCUUUUUUUGCAAUCCCUUUCAUUUGUAAAUGUACAUACUACUGUAGUAAAUGUAUCUGCCCAGAAAUGCUGGUAUUUU